GGGCUUGUGGUCUAGUGGCUAUGACAUCUCCCUUACAAGGAGAAGGUCGCAGGUUCGAGUCCUGCCAGGCCCA
rnacentral:tRNA from 1 species